CCUGACACCGGCAUCACCGACAAUACCAAUGGCCAUACCAGCAGAAAGACCAGCAAGACCACAAGCAAGACCGGAGGAGAGGUGAGCGUAUCCAUCGAAGAGGUAGUAAGACUUGGCCUUUGGGUUAAUACCGGUACUGAUGAUAACAGCAAUAAUCAAGCCGUAAAUACCCAACACACCAGCCAUAACAACGGGGACAAUGGACUUCAUGACCAGCUCGGGCCUCAUCACUCCCAUAGACGCCACACCAACACCACUCUUUGCGGUUCCAUAAGCAGCUCCCAUACCUAUCCACCCAAUAAAAACAAAGAUUUAUUACCAUAAUGUCAAAAAUAUAAAAUAAUCCUCAUAGGAUCCCACAAGAUUACUCUAACAAUAACAUAAUGUCAAAAAUGAAUCGAAUCGAAUCUCAGAUUUACAACACAAUGGUGAUUGAAACGCAUUGCUUAAUAGAUUUUCCAAGGUCAAACACUAAUCAAGAUCCAAUAGCUACUCAAUGAAGCACACGGUGGGCUCCAAAUUUCAAGGGAAUGCACAACAAAAUGGAAAUGAAUCUCUUCGCAGAUCUUCAGCUAGAUAAAAAUUUGACUAAGCUACAAUUCAAUGGUGCUCGAAUAACAUUGCUGAAUCAGCUGAUCCAAGGUCAAAUGAAAACAAUAUCUUAUAAGAUCACACAUUCUUUUGUCUAUGGACGCAGAUCGGAACCUAAAUACUCAUUCGUCAAUCAAUCAUACACGCGAUCUGAAGAGCUAUGCGCAAGUUAGCACAUAUCUAGCUUAGUUACAAAUGUCAGACGUCAAUCCUAGAAUCCAGGAAGACGAUCACGGACAAACGAUUCAGAUCAAAACAAAAUGAUAUGGAAUGGAGAAAAGGGGGAUUACAGGAGAAGACGAGUGCGGCUGCAGCGCCGAGGAAGCCGAAGAAAGGAGCUGUUUCAUCGCCGCUGAAGGUAGACAUGUCGACGUUUGCGAUUUGGAUCUGAGAUCAGGUCGCUGGAUGAUUGGAAUCUGGCGAGAGAGAGAGAGAGAGAGAUGUGGAUGGAUAUAUCGCUCUGAUUUUUUUAUUUAUUUAUUUGUUAUUGUUUUGUUUUUUUCUCUCGGAUGAGUGGAAGGGAACAACGUGCAGCUUGAUCUUUCACUGAGACGACCACGUCACUCUGGGCCUGGGCCUGGGCCUGGGCCUAAUUGUGAUUCACUUAGACCCCACUUUUAAAUAUCUCAACAUUUUCCAAUCCGGUUUACAGUUUUGGUACGACUUUGAAAGAGUUUCAAAUCGGUUUAAAACUUCUACUAGCAAACACAUUACAGUAGACCACACUGUUACACUAAUUAAUCCAAAAAUGCAAUAAGAUAACAAACUGAGGAAGGAGUCAUGUGAGCUAGUAGAAGCCAUGUGAGCUAAACUGUCAUUGGUUCGCAUCUUCUUUGAUUCUCAGUUCCGUGACAUCAACAUCUUCCUUAUACUCUUGUCUAAACUUCACACAAAAUAUGAACUGAUCUCUCCUAGAUGAGUUGAACAUAUGAUGACUGAAACCUAGUGUUAACAGAGUAAUAUGCACUCGUGUUUGGUGCUAAAACUUGCUUCAGACCAUUUACUUUACAUAGAUGAUGUCUUCGUCGGGGUCAUCCUCUGGUGUAUCAGAUGUUUCUGACCCUCCUUCGCUUCCUUUCUCAGCUUUUAUUUUGUCUAGUAUUGCAAUUACCUGAAAAAAACUCCAGUUUCAGUCUCUUGUGAUGGUUAUAUAACUAGUAACUACUAGCAACCACAAGAUCGAAAACUCAGAAAUCAUGAUCAGCACCAUUAAGGAUCUUCCAACUUUUAUAAUAUAGUUAGUUUCUUUUUGUAGUGAAAGAUAGAUCAGAAGGCUUACCCUGCUUCCUCUCUCCAUGGACAAACAAACACCAGAGAAAAGCAAUCAGAGAGACUCGUGAUGGUUUCAGAAAGCAAACUUCUUUACAAAUAAAUGUAUUUAACUUUCCUCAGGACAAUACAAGAAUACAAAAACAUACCAAGCUCCAUCCAGAGCCGGCCCUUGGGCCAAGCCAAGGAAGCAGUGGCUUCCGGCCUCAUUAUUAUAAAUGAAAUUUCGGCCACAAUUUUUCAAAAAUUACCUUUAGUCUGGUGGCAACAUAUGAAUGUUGCAUACUCUCUUGGCCCAACCUGGGUUCGAAACUCAAAAAAGUGGCCUAUUUUUUUAAAUUUGAAUCCGGUAUGGGAUUCCUUAGGACCGGCUCUGGCUCCAUCAGAGCUCUUUAUUACAGAACAAAAUAAUAAAAAUCCCUACAUCGGAGAGCAACCACCGAGAGAGAAAUAGGAGAGCGUCCAAUAAUUUUUUUCAGUUCCCGAGAGGAUACAUACUAAUGAACGAUAGAACAAAACACACAGAGAAAAUAAAGUACCUUCGGGGGAAAAUCUUGUGGGUUACAUAUCUCAUUCAGCUCUAGACUGGCCAGCUCUUGAGGAGAGGAUGAUUCCUACAAUAAGCCCGUAAAGAGCAAGUGCUUCUGCGAAGAUAAGGAUAAGAAUCAUCCCAACAAAGAGCUUAGGCUGCUGAGCAUUUGCCCUGAAAAAAGAAUUACAAACGAACAAGUCAAACACCAAUGUCACAUACACACUCACGUGUGAAGUAUUAUAGGUUGCAGGAGGAGGGAAUAACAAACCUGACACCGGCAUCACCGACAAUACCAAUGGCCAUACCAGCAGAAAGACCAGCAAGACCACAAGCAAGACCGGAGGAGAGGUGAGCGUAUCCAUCGAAGAGGUAGUAAGACUUGGCCUUUGGGUUAAUACCGGUACUGAUGAUAACAGCAAUAAUCAAGCCGUAAAUACCCAACACACCAGCCAUAACAACGGGGACAAUGGACUUCAUGACCAGCUCGGGCCUCAUCACUCCCAUAGACGCCACACC
rnacentral:lncRNA from 1 species